rnacentral:rRNA from 1 species
UAAUAGCGUAUAUUAAAGUUGUUGCAGUUGAAAAGCUCGUAGUCGUAUUUCUGGUGGGUUGAUGCGUCGGCUCAAGUUUGGCGAAAGUCGAGCUUGGCUGUACGCCGCCUAUCAUUUUGUGGAUCAAAGUUAAGUUUGUGUACGCAAGUAUGCAUUCUUAGCUCCACUCCGUCACUGAGAGCAAAUUGGAGUGCUCAAAGCAGGCUUUACAGCUUUGAACAUUUUAGCUUGGAAUGACAAAGUACGACUUCUCGUUCACUUUGUUGGUUAUGAAUAGGAAGUAAUGAUAAAUAGGAACAGUUGCGGGGGUACUCGUACUGGGAAGUCAGAGGUGAAAUUCUUGGAUUUUCCCACGACGAACGACUGCGAAAGCAUUUACCAAGGAUGUUUUCAUUGAUCAAGAACGAAAGUGCGAGGAUCGAAGAUGAUCAGAU